rnacentral:rRNA from 1 species
AUUGAACGCUAGCGGCAUGCCUAAUACAUGCAAGUCGAACGAGUGGCGGACGGGUGAGUAAUGUAUCGGAACUUGCCCAGUAGCGGGGGAUAACUACUCGAAACGGUGGCUAAUACCGCAUACUAUUGGAGUAGCCCAUAUCGGAUUAGCUAGUAGGUGGGGUAAAGGCUCACCAAGGCAACGAUCCGUAGCUGGUUUGAGAGGAUGAACGGCCACACUGGGACUGAGACACGGCCCAGACUCCGACGGGAGGCAGCAGUGGGGAAUUUUGGGCAAUGGGGGAAACCCUGAUGGAGCCAUCCCGCGUGUGUGAGAAGGCCUUCGGGUUGUAAAGUACUUUUGGCAGGGAAGCGGUAUCUGCAGAGAAAGCACCGGCUAACUACGUGCCAGCAGCCGCGGUAAUUC